rnacentral:piRNA from 1 species
UNGAAUGUCAAUCCUACCUCUGCUUCCUUUGU